AGUGAACGCUGGCGGUAGGCCUAACACAUGCAAGUCGAACGGCAGCACAGUAAGAGCUUGCUCUUACGGGUGGCGAGUGGCGGACGGGUGAGGAAUACAUCGGAAUCUACUUUUUCGUGGGGGAUAACGUAGGGAAACUUACGCUAAUACCGCAUACGACCUACGGGUGAAAGCAGGGGAUCUUCGGACCUUGCGCGAUUGAAUGAGCCGAUGUCGGAUUAGCUAGUUGGCGGGGGAAAGGCCCACCAAGGCGACGAUCCGUAGCUGGUCUGAGAGGAUGAUCAGCCACACUGGAACUGAGACACGGUCCAGACUCCUACGGGAGGCAGCAGUGGGGAAUAUUGGACAAUGGGCGAAAGCCUGAUCCAGCCAUACCGCGUGGGUGAAGAAGGCCUUCGGGUUGUAAAGCCCUUUUGUUGGGAAAGAAAAGCAGCAGGUUAAUACCCCGCUGUUCUGACGGUACCCAAAGAAUAAGCACCGGCUAACUUCGUG
rnacentral:rRNA from 1 species